GAUCAUACCACAGCACUCCAGCCUGGGUGACAGAGUGAGACUCUGUCUCAAAAAGAAAGGAAUAAGAUAGCUUGUUCUUCCUACUGAUUAGUCCUGGACAUAAUUUCAUACUCUAAUGAAGAUUGGAGACUUCUGUAGCGUAGGUAAAUUUAGAUAGUACUGGUUGGUCUAGAUAUCAUUCUAACUAUCCUAGGUUGGAUUACAAAGAAGAAAAAGUCUUGAUUGUAAAUGUUUUGUCUGCUGGGGUUUUAAUUAAUAUUUUUUCUCUUCUGUCUUCCUUGAUUCAGGAUUUAAGAGGGGUGCAGAUCCCGGAAUGCCUGAACCAACUGUUUUGAGCCUACUUUGGGGAUAAAGGAUUAUUUGGUCUUCUGGAUUUGGAGGCAAUCAGCGGACAGCAUGGAAGAUGUGUGCUCUGGCUCGGAUAAGAGAUGGGACAUCAUUCAGUCACUAGUUGGAUGGCACAAGGCUCUUCACAGACGCAUCUGUAGCAGAGUGGAACUUGUACUAACUUAUGAUAGAAUGUAUCAGAAUAAAUGUUUUUAACAGUGUUA
rnacentral:lncRNA from 10 species